ACUUCGCCACGCCGGCCGACGGCGAGCGGUUCUACCGCGACCUCACCUGGUUGUGCCUGCACCAGCACGGGGCGUUCAACUCGCCGGUGUGGUUC
rnacentral:tRNA from 1 species